GAAAUCGUAAAAAAAAAAAAAAAGAAAUCAGAAGAGGUAAAGCAGACAGGACAGAGAGGGGAGGAGCAGAAGGAGAAACCUAUAGAGAGAGCAGAGGACGAAAUUUAGAUGACGAUGGACAGAGAGAAGGAGAGAGAGAUAGAGCUAGAAAGCGCAAUGUACACCAAUUGCUUGCUUUUAGGUCUGGAUCCGAACAUUAUCGGACUCGGAGCCUCCAACGGCUCUCCUAGGGUGGGGCUAUUCCGCCACUCCAACCCUAAAUUGGGCGAGCAGCUCCUCUAUUUCAUCCUCUCCUCCCUUCGUGGCCCCGUUCAAUCAGCCAAAGAUUUCGAUAAGGUGUGGCCGAUUUUCGAUUCUGCACAGUCGCGUGAUUUUCGUAAGGUUGUCCA
rnacentral:misc_RNA from 1 species